UUGGAAAUUUAACUUUGAAUUGGUCUAAACAUCACAAUCGUGUUUUUCUCGCUAACUAAACGCGGUAAGUAUCUUUUCAGCUCAAAAUCUUCGUUUUUGUUGGAAUUUAGGAAGUUUGCUGUAAAUUUAUUUUUCAGCUGGUUUCUCUUCGGAAAUUUAAC